CGGAGCUAUGAAGGGGCCGAACCGGGCCACGGCCCGCCCAGGUUUUGGGCCAAAAAGAAAUCAACUAGUACUCGUUGUCCAGCCCAACUGCCUCGAUGACUCACUCCACCACGACCGAAACAAUGGAGGCGCCUGAGCGGAGCUAGGUUGGGGAAAUCGGAAGGGGAAACCGGAGGGGAGGCGGAGCUAGGCAGCACAGCAGCAGCAGCGCCGGACCUCUUCGCCUCUUCCCGCAGCCAGGGACGGCCCAGCCGCACGCUGCACACACACGGUGCUGGCCGGACCGCCGGUGCCGGAGGUCCAGCAGCCAGACCCGUCACCGCGACCAGGUACCGAGGAAGGUGCUGAGAAGGCGAUGCUGGAAUGAGGCGUCCCUGCGAGUUGAACGAUGGUCAAAGUGUCUUGUCUUGCUGGAGGCUGAUGUACAUAGGAUUGGCGAUGGUGUUACUGCUGAAUUGCUGGAUCGAGAGUUGAGCAGCGUCUGCUAGAUAAGAUGGCGAGAGCUCUACGACCGUGUUUAGUCUUUGCACAGGCAGUAGAGCAGUUAUUUAAGACUGUGUAGGAAGUCAAAGUGAGGUCUUGCUAUACGUGAUUGCAUUGCAGGCCUGACUAGCUUCGAUCAUAGUCCAUACUGUGCCAAAAUUCCAUGGCCGUACUGUACUAUUUUUUCUCCUUCA